GGAGAGAUGGCAGAGUGGUUUAAUGCACCGGUUUACUAAACCGGCGACCAAUUAUAGGUUCGGGGGUUCGAAUCCCUCUCUCUCCG
rnacentral:tRNA from 1 species